rnacentral:rRNA from 1 species
ACUCCUACGGGAGGCAGCAGUAGGGAAUCUUCCGCAAUGGACGAAAGUCUGACGGAGCAACGCCGCGUGAGUGAAGAAGGUUUUCGGAUCGUAAAAACUCUGUUGUUAGAGAAGAACGUUAAGUAGAGUGGAAAAUUACUUAAGUGACGGUAUCUAACCAGAAAGGGACGGCUAACUACGUGCCAGCAGCCGCGGUAAUACGUAGGUCCCAAGCGUUGUCCGGAUUUAUUGGGCGUAAAGCGAGCGCAGGUGGUUUCUUAAGUCUGAUGUAAAAGGCAGUGGCUCAACCAUUGUGUGCAUUGGAAACUGGGAGACUUGAGUGCAGGAGAGGAGAGUGGAAUUCCAUGUGUAGCGGUGAAAUGCGCAGAUAUAUGGAGGAACACCGGAGGCGAAAGCGGCUCUCUGGCCUGUAACUGACACUGAGGCUCGAAAGCGUGGGGAGCAAACAGGAUUAGAUACCCUGGUAGGAUAGCG